AAUACUUUUUCAAUGAAUGGGUUUAGUUAAAGCUCUUCAGUGUAACAUUUGGUUUGUCUAAAUGAUACAAGAAUAGAGAUGUUGCCUAAUGCACUUAUUUUUCAAAAGAAAGAUCAAUCAUGUUAUAUAAAUGGUUAUUGUUGAUUGUUGGGGUGUGUUUCUGACAUGAGAUUUGUAGUGCUCCUUGGACCUCAAAGGAUGGCCUUAGCUUACCGGUACAAUAUUGUUGGCCUACUUAUGACUUGCAACCGCACUAUACUAUUCAAUUGAUUCUGCUCUUAAAAAACCUUAAGGAUCUACCCCUUUUUUUUCUUUCAAUUUUCACCUAAAAUUACAUACCCAAAUCUAACUGCCUGUAGCUCAGGACCUGAAGCAAGGAUAUGCAUAUUCUUGAUACCAUUUGAAAGGAAACACUUUGAAGUUUGUGGAAAUGAAUGUAGGAGAAUAACACAGAUCUGGUAAAAGAUAAUACAAAGGAAAAAAAUCAUGUUUUUUUUGUACCAUCUUUGAAAUGCAAGAGAAAGGCCAUAAUGUAUUAUUCCAGCCCAGGUGCAAUUUAGAUUUUGGUCACUAGAUGACAGCAGUGUAUAUUCAAAGUUUUAGACUGAUCCAAUGAACCAGUGCACAUCUGUUCAAAAUGUAUCAAAACUACCCAAAUGUGCCUAAUUGGUUUAUUAAUACAUUUUCAAGUUCAUAAUUGUGCACUCUCCUCGAACAAUAGCAUGGUAUUCUUUCACUGUAAUAGCUAUUGCAAAUUGGACAGUGCAGUUAGAUUAACAAGAAUUUAAUCUUUCUGCCAAUAUCAGAUAUGUCAAUGUCCUGGGAAAUGUUCUUGUUACAACCUCAUGCUAAUCGCAUGAGCCUACAUUAGCUCAACCGUCCCGCGGGGGACCCACCGCUCCUGUAGAGGUUUUAAAUUAUCCAAAAUCCAUGUCAUCUUUUCUCUGAUAUGAAUCCUGUGGAUGUUAGUAAAGUAUGGUUGUGAUGAUGGAAUUUUAGAUAUCAGAAACCCCAUGCCUUGAUGCCUUUUUGUUGUCUUCCAUGUGGAAGACUUACUGUGUGUGUGAUAUUUAUAAAGAAACUAAACAC
rnacentral:lncRNA from 1 species